rnacentral:lncRNA from 1 species
GAAAAUGAUGGUUAUGAAAUUUUCAUCUCUGUACAUACAACAUUCUCUGCAACCUACUCUCUCGUCCAUGCCAUUUUUAUUUCACAACUCCAAAUACCGAUAACAAUUUUCUACUUAAUAUAGAAUUCUCCUCUUUUAAUCCUCUCUCUCUUUUUUCCACCAUCUUCAAUAAUAGUCAUGGAAGAUGUCAAUCCUAUGGUAGACGUUCUUUUCGCAUGAAUAUCUUCAAUGAGCAAUGAGAAUUGCUCCCCAAGGAGAAAGAAUAGUUGUUUUUUUGGUGAUAAUGAGGCGCAAAUAAGAAGAAGAAAAAUAAGCCGUGAUGAUAGCCAAAUACAAUUUUGUGAACAAUUUUUUUUUUUUUUUUGAAGAAGGUUAUGAGAGGAGGAAAUUUCUCAAAAGAAUCAAUAGAAAGGUGGAGGAGGAGGUGAAGUGUACGACACUAAAAUUAUUGGUGGCAAUGGUCCCUCAUACACAGGAGCUGGAGGUGGUGAUGAUGAUGGUAAUGAACUGGUGGUGGUGAGGAAUAUGUUACAACGGGUGGCGGUGGUGCAGGUGAUGGAAAAUACUUUAAAAAAUAAGCCAAAACCAACAAUUUGUAAAGCUGAAUUACAUGAUUUAAUCAUUAAAAAUACUUUAAAAACC